GGUUGCGAUCAUACCAGCACUAAUGCACCGGAUCCCAUUAGAACUCCGCAGUUUAGCGUGCUUGGGCGAGAGUAGUACUAGGAUGGGUGACCCCCCUGGGAAGUCCUCGUGUUGCAACCC
rnacentral:rRNA from 1 species